UACAGAGGGUGCAAGCGUUAAUCGGAGUUACUGGGCGUAAAGGGCGCGUAGGCGGUCAUGCAAGUGAGAUGUGAAAUCCCCGGGCUUAACCUGGGAACUGCAUUUUAGACUGUGUGACUGGAGUACUGUAGAGGCAGAUGGAAUUCCCGGUGUAGCGGUGGAAUGCGUAGAGAUCGGGAAGAACAUCAGUGGCGAAGGCGGUCUGCUGGGCCGUUGCUGACGCUGAGGCGCGACAGCGUGGGGAGCAAACAGG
rnacentral:rRNA from 1 species